rnacentral:rRNA from 1 species
CACGGACACACUGGAACUGAAACACGGUCCAGACUCCUACGGGAGGCAGCAGUGGGGAAUUUUGCGCAAUGGGGGAAACGGGACCUGACGCAGCAACGCCGCGUGGAGGAUGAAGCCCCUUGGGGCGUAAACUCCUUUCGACCAAGACGAUAAUGACGGUACUGGUGGAAGAAGCACCGGCUAACUCUGUGCCAGCAGCCGCGGUAAUAA